rnacentral:rRNA from 1 species
CCUACGGGAGGCAGCAGUGGGGAAUAUUGCGCAAUGGGCGAAAGCCUGACGCAGCAACGCCGCGUGAGGGAUGACGGCCUUCGGGUUGUAAACCUCUUUCAGCAGGGAAGAAGCGAAAGUGACGGUACCUGCAGAAGAAGCACCGGCUAACUACGUGCCAGCAGCCGCGGUAAUACGUAGGGUGCAAGCGUUGUCCGGAUUUAUUGGGCGUAAAGAGCUCGUAGGCGGUUAGUCACGUCGGAUGUGAAAUCCCGGAGCUUAACUCCGGGCCUGCAUUCGAUACGGGCUGACUCGAGUAUUGUAGGGGAGACUGGAACUCCUGGUGUAGCGGUGAAAUGCGCAGAUAUCAGGAAGAACACCGGUGGCGAAGGCGGGUCUCUGGGCAAUUACUGACGCUGAGGAGCGAAAGCGUGGGGAGCAAACAGGAUUAGAUACCCUGGUAGUCCACGCCGUAAACGGUGGGCGCUAGGUGUGGGGACCCUUCCACGGUCUCCGUGCCGCNGCACGCAUAGCGCCCGCCGUCGGGUAGGUACGGCCGGCGACGGACGUAAACCUACAAUAGAGUUAGACGGCGNGAGACGNGCCGACGGACGACGACGAGGGAGGUAGG